UUUUUUUUUUAUGUAUGUUACAUCAGAACUUUUGACCGGGUGGACCGAUUUCGACAAAUUUUGUUUUAAUCGAAAGGUGGUGUGUGCCAAUUGGUCCCAUUUAAAUUUAUUUGAGAUCUAACAACUACUUUUCGAGUUAUAUCUAAUAAUGCGUUUUUACUUGACGCUUUUUUCGUCGACCUACGUUGUAUUAUACCGCAUAACUUUCUAAUGGAUAUACCGAUUUGGAUAAUUUUUUUUUUUGUUAGAAAGGGGAUAUCUCUAGU
rnacentral:misc_RNA from 1 species